rnacentral:rRNA from 1 species
CAGUCGCCGCGGGAACACGGAGGGGGCUAGCGUUGUUCGGAAUUACUGGGCGUAAAGCGCACGUAGGCGGCUUGGUAAGUUAGAGGUGAAAGCCUGGAGCUCAACUCCAGAAUUGCCUUUAAGACUGCCGAGCUAGCAGUUGAGAGAGGUAAGUGGAAUUCCGAGUGUAGAGGUGAAAUUCGUAGAUAUUCGGAAGAACACCAGUGGCGAAGGCGGCUUACUGGCUCAUACUGGACGCUGAGGUGCGAAAGCGUGGGGAGCAAACAGGAUUAGAUACCCCCGUAGUCCCUGUCUCUUAUAC